GACGAACGCUGGCGGCGUGCCUAAUACAUGCAAGUCGAGCGGAAUGAAGAAGGAGCUUGCUUCUUCUGAUUUUAGCGGCGGACGGGUGAGUAACACGUGGGCAACCUACCUUGUAGAUUGGGAUAACUCCGGGAAACCGGGGCUAAUACCGAAUAAUCCAUUUUGCUUCAUGGCGAGAUGUUAAAAGGCGGCUUCGGCUGUCACUACGAGAUGGGCCCGCGGCGCAUUAGCUAGUUGGUAGGGUAAUGGCCUACCAAGGCGACGAUGCGUAGCCGACCUGAGAGGGUGAUCGGCCACACUGGGACUGAGACACGGCCCAGACUCCUACGGGAGGCAGCAGUAGGGAAUCUUCCACAAUGGACGAAAGUCUGAUGGAGCAACGCCGCGUGAGUGAAGAAGGUUUUCGGAUCGUAAAACUCUGUUGUAAGGGAAGAACACGUACGAGAGUAACUGCUCGUACCUUGACGGUACCUUAUUAGAAAGCCACGGCUAACUACGUG
rnacentral:rRNA from 1 species